CCGCACGCGCGCUACACUGGACGGCUCAACGAGUUCACCCUGGCCUCGACAGGGCUGGGUAAUCUUGCAAANNCGUUCGUGAUGGGGAUAGAUUCUUGCAAUUAUUGAUCUUCAACGAGGAAUUCCUAGUACGCGCAGUUCAUCAGACUGCAUGGAUUACGUC
rnacentral:rRNA from 1 species